rnacentral:rRNA from 1 species
CAACUCGGCUGCAUGAAGCUGGAAUCGCUAGUAAUCGCAGAUCAGAAUGCUGCGGUGAAUACGUUCCCGGGUCUUGUACACACCGCCCGUCACACCAUGGGAGUUGGGAAUGCCCGAAGCCGGUGGCCUAACCGCAAGGGAGGAGCUGUCGAAGGCAGGCCCGAUAACUGGGGUGAAGUCGUAACAAGGUAUC